AAAAAUAAAAAACUUAAUAUGUGUGUGUCAUAGGGAAACAAACUAGCUGAGAGCUUUGCAAGGGUUCGAGAGUCAUCAAAACAAGACAAGCUUCUUGAGUAUCUUCAGCAAGAGAGAUGUUUUUGCCUAUUAUAUUAGCUCUCUGGUUCCGACUAG